UCUCUGUUAGUAUAUCGGUUAGUACACGCGCCUGUCAUGCUUCAGUGUUUGACUUCUGUUGCGCGCGAAAGCUGGGUUCGACUCCCAGACAGAGAG